rnacentral:snoRNA from 13 species
AACAUGAAGUAAAUGAUGAUACACUGGAUCUGACUGACUGUGCUGAGCUUGUUCAAUCCAACCCUGAGCUUCAUGUU